AUCACUCUCAUGGAGAAGCAUGGUAUCGGGACUGAUGCCAGUAUCCCUGUGCACAUCAACAAUACCUGCCAGAGCAAUUAUGUUACUGUGGAUAGUGGCUGCUGGCUGAAGCCCACCAACAUUGGCAUAGUUCUGGUGCAUGGUUAUUACAAGAUUGAUGCAGAGUUGGUACUCCCCACCAUCUGAAGCACAAUGGAGAAGCAGUUGAACCUUAUUGCCCAGGGCAAAAUUGACUACCACCAGGUCCUGGGCCACAGCCUGGAUAUCUUCAAGAGAAAGUUCCACUUCUUCGUUGAUUCUAUUGCUGGCAUGGAUGAGUUGAUGGAGAUGUCCUUUUCACCCUUAGCUGGCACUGGCAAGCCCCUUUCAUGCUGUGGGAAGUGCCAAUGAUUUAUGAAGUACAUCCAGGCCUAGCCAAGCCACCUGCACUGCUCCUACUGUGAUGAAACCUACACCCUCCCUCAGAAUGGGACAAUCAAGCUCUACAAGGAGCUGCAAUGCCCAUUGGAUGACUUUGAACCGGUCCUGUGGUCCUCCGGCUCCUAGGGCAAGAGCUACCUACUAUGUCCCUACUGCUAUAACCACCCACCCUUCUGAGAUAUGAAGAAAGUUAUGGGCUGCAAUAAAUGCACACAGCCCACCUGCCAGCACUCACUAAGUAUGCUGGGCAUUGGCCAGUGUGUGGAAUGUGAGAAUGGAAUCCUGGUUCUGGACCCCAUCUCUGGUCCCAAGUGGAAGGUGGCCUGCAAUACAUGUAAUGUGGUGGCACACUGCUUUGAAAAUGCCCACCAAGUACGGGUAUCUGCUGAUACCUGCAACUCCUGCGAAGCUGCCUUGCUUGAUGUAGACAUCAGCAAAGCCAAGUCUCCCCUUCCUGGCAAUGAAACUCAGCACACAGGCUGCAUCUUCUGUGACCUCAUCUUCUAGGAUCUGGAGGAGCUGAAACAUGCAGCCUCCUGCCACCCCAUGCACCGAGGUGGUCCUGGAAGGAGGCAGGAUCGUGGACGGGCCCAGGGCCUGAGACCUCCAGGAAAGCCCAACCCUAGGCGGCCAAAAGACAAGAUGUCAGCCCUGGCUGCUUACUUCAUAUGACAACCUAUCUUUUCCCUACUCCAGACACAAUGUGGUUAUCUUUGAGCCACUGAAACCAUCAAAAUGCUUUUG